AAAUUGAAGAGUUUGAUCAUGGCUCAGAUUGAACGCUGGCGGCAGGCCUAACACAUGCAAGUCGAACGGUAACAGGAAGCAGCUUGCUGCUUCGCUGACGAGUGGCGGACGGGUGAGUAAUGUCUGGGAAACUGCCUGAUGGAGGGGGAUAACUACUGGAAACGGUAGCUAAUACCGCAUAACGUCGCAAGACCAAAGAGGGGGACCUUCGGGCCUCUUGCCAUCGGAUGUGCCCAGAUGGGAUUAGCUAGUAGGUGGGGUAACGGCUCACCUAGGCGACGAUCCCUAGCUGGUCUGAGAGGAUGACCAGCCACACUGGAACUGAGACACGGUCCAG
rnacentral:rRNA from 1 species